CUUCCUUCCACGUCAACACCAUCCUGAUAGCCGUCCUUGUCACUGCUGGUGUAUUCUCUGUCAUCACUUUACCCCUCUUGAUAAUUCUUUACCGAAAUUGCCGGCGUGAUAAAAAAGUCGAGCCAGCAAGCUGCCCAAAUGAACAGGAAAACGGCGAAAACGACGGAAAAAAGAUGAAAGCCGAAACUAGAUAACAUGAACAUGUAGUUAGGUAUAUUUUGAAGGUAGUUUAUCUGUCUAAAGUGUUUUGUUAACUUUUCUCUUAUUCCCUUCGCCUAAUUAGGAAAAAAGUCACACCCUUGCAAAAGUAAUAGUUCAUAGAUACCUUUACGCAUGCGUAAUAUUUGCCUACAUCGCAAGUCCAUAUAUGGUAAUAAACUUCAUUUGAUGUUCGUCAAAUGUGAAGCUUUCUGCAUAGUGUAAAAAUAUCGUUAGAAACAACAGACUUUACCAUACUAUCAGGUUCUUACUCUCUACCAAUGGAGAAUAACUCGAAAGGCGAAGGAAAUGAAGGGGUUUUGAGGGUUUUUUGCACUAAAUUGUCGAUGAAAAUUGUCCAACGAAAGAGUUGAAGUUUCAAGAUGAAUGUCGUCGAAGUUGCUGGCAAAUAUUCUUGAAAGACGUUAACUUCAUACUUCGAAAUAAAAAUUCUGGCUAGCGUCCUGUUGUGGCCAGAGAGAGUGGAGCGAAUGAUUAUUUGAUAUUUGUUUUGAAAGUCUUAAUACUUAAUUAAUCAAGCGCAAGACUGAAGAAGAAACGUUUCCAAAGGGAAGACCCGAGGGACGACCCGAGGGAGAACCCAAGGGAAAGGAUUUUGAAAUAGAGCUUUAAGUUGUGACGUACUUCCUGGUCCAAACUAGAAUGAAAAUCGCUGAAACCAGGAGUGCUUACCAUUUACCCAGAAAAACCGGGAAUUCCGGUUGAAAACAAAUGGUUUGUAUCAUUCCGAUCGGAAAAUUCCGGAACACUCGGUCUUAAGAUUGACUUUUCCCGCUCUUUUCGGUUCUUUCGGUAGACGCGUUUACCAUUUUUCGAAAGUCAAAGUUUCCCGCUCUUUUCUUAGCACUAGCGAAUGAAUUUCCAACCAGAUGGAUUGGUGUAAAUGGUAAGCACCCCAGGCCUAAAGUUAAAGAAAGUUAUUUUAAGAAACUUUCCAAUUUUGGACCCGGAAGUCGACUUGAGUGCCAAGAUUUUGCAAUGUCAGUUCUCGCUACGUUGUUUGAUUUUGACAAUGUCAAACGGGUUCAGGCACACAUUUUAAAGCCUUUUACUAUUGUGGUCAUAAGAUUUUUUAACCUAGCAAAGAACUAGUACAUUUUUUAUACGAGCUAGAAAACGAUUCGGUGUGAGUGAAACAUAUGGUAUGACUAUGUUGUGACUUCGAAAUGGCUUUCCUUAGUGAACCAAUCAAAUACAGCUAAAACAUUUUUCAUCCAUGUAGUCAUUAUCGAAAUAAUUUAAAAGCCAUUUGACAGCGUGGUACUGUCAAUAUUUUUUUGUAAUAUUAGCCAUUAUAUAUACAUACAAACUGAGAGUGGAAGCCCCGGGAGUGGAAGACUUUGAUGUGCUCUUAAAUUACAGUAACCAGAAGUCUAGAUGUGCUUGAAUUUGUUUGUAGAUAGGUUGGAUUUACUCCAAACAUUCCCUGCUUUAAUUUUGUAUAUUAUCUACGAAUACAAAGCAGUGCAAGCGUUCGGUAUUAAUGCGGUAAUAAUUAUGGCAAGAUAUUGAAGUUAAACUGUGCAAUAAGUAAAUUGAUUGCUAAUUUAGGAAAGACAAGCGAAGCAUUGAGUUUAUCGG